GUUGGGCGGACGCCCCGCAAACAGGGCAGCUGCGCCCGUGCCGAAGCGUUCCGCGCGCUCGGGGAAGCCUCAGGGGUGACCCGGAGGUUCAGACUCCUGUGAGGGCCAACCGAGCUUGCAGCCCCGGGAGGCGCUAUCCACCCGAACUCAGAAAAAGCCCGAGGCGCCGAGCUGACGCCAGCAAUUUAGAAAGGUGACCCUCGGCCCAUCUUGCCGGGGUAGGAGUGCGAAACGGAUAAAGUUACAGCUCGCCACACACGCAGAUGGAAAGUCGGGCCGUCCUGCCGGUGUGGGGUGACGCCUCAUUGUGGUUGUGAUCUGCGUCUCCCUGAUGAUCCGUGAUACUGAGCAUCUCUUCAUGUACCUGUUGUCCACCUGUCUUCUUUGGAAAAAUGUCUCCAAUUUUACUUCUAAGUAAUCUCUACACCCAACGUGGGGCUCAAACUCACAACCCCAAGGUCAAGAGUCACGUGCUCUGCAGACUGAGCCAGCCAGUUGCCCCUGGAACCGCUGAUUUUCAACUGCUGAUUCAAUUUUUAAAUGGUUCUAAGACUAUAUAGGUAUUGUACUUCUUAAGACUUUUGAAAAGUUAUUUAAAUAAAACAUUUUCUCUGAAUUUCAAAUUUAUUAGCAUAAGGUGUUCAGAAUGUUUUUAUAUUUUAAUCUCUGCUUUCUGUCCCUUUAUUUCUAAUAUUUGUGCUUUCUUUUUCCCUCAUCAGUUUUGCCACAGGUUUGUCUACUUUAUUAUCAAAUUUAGCCUGUGGAAUUAUCCCAUUAUUUCUCUGUCUUCUAGUUAAUUAAUUGACUUCUUUUCUUAGCUCCUUUCAUUUUUUCAUAUGGGGUUAGUUUGCUGGUUCUUAACAUUGAACACUUAGUCAAUU